GAGUUUGAUUCUGGCUCAGGAUGAACGCUAGCGGCAGGCCUAACACAUGCAAGUCGAGGGGCAGCGCGGCGGUGUUCUCACCGCCGGCGGCGACCGGCGCACGGGUGCGUAACACGUGAGCAACCUACCCGCCACAGGGGGAUAACCGCCGGAAACGGCGCCUAAUACCCCGUGACACCAUUAGGGGCAUCCCUUUUGGUUGAAAGCCUUCGGGCGGUGUCGGAUGGGCUCGCGGGGCAUUAGCUAGUCGGCGGGGCAGCGGCCCACCGAGGCAACGAUGCCUAGGGGUUCUGAGAGGAAGGCCCCCCACACUGGGACUGAGACACGGCCCAGACUCCUACGGGAGGCAGCAGUGAGGGAUAUUGGACAAUGGGCGUAAGCCUGAUCCAGCCAUGCCGCGUGGAGGCGACGGCCCUACGGGUCUUAAACUCCUUUUGACCGGGAGCAAUAAGGGCCACUGGUGGC
rnacentral:rRNA from 1 species